CGUGAUAUCCCCAGUAACGGCGAGUGAAGAGGAUACAGCCCAACUUUGAAAUCUGGCGCUUUCAGCGUCCGAGUUGUAGUCUCGAGAAGCGUGACCCGCAACGCCCCUUACCAAAUCGGUUCGGAUACCGAGUCACAGAGGGUAACAAUCCCGUUGGGUCUGGGUGCCGAGCAUAGCGGUCCGCCCUCUAAGAGUCGAGUUGUUUGGGAAUGCAGCUCUAAUCAGGUGGUAAAUUCCAUCCAAGGCUAAAUAUUGGCGAGAGACCGAUAGCGAACAAGUACAGUGAUGGAAAGAUGAAAAGCACUUUGGAAAGAGAAUGAAAGAGUAUGUGAAAUGGCUAGAAAGGAAACGCUUGAAGUCAGACACGCGCGGUGCGGUUCAGCUCGGUUCGCCGAGUGCAUUUCGCACCAUUGCGCGCCAGCAUCGGUUCGUGAGGCCGCAAAAGCGCAGUGGGAACGUAGCCUGCUCCGGGAGGUGUUAUAGCCCAUUGUUGCGUCGGACUCGUGGACCGAGGAUAGCAACGCGCCGCAAGGUACAUCUCGAGGGAUGAAGCGUUCAGGAUGCUGGCGGAAUGGCUUUAAACGACCCGUCUUGAAACACGGACCAAGGAGUCGAUGAUAUUCGCGAGUGUUUGGGUGUCAAACCCGGACGCGUAAUGAAAGUGAAUGCAGGUCGGAUCCGCAAGGUGCACGAUCGCCCGUACUGAAGAUUUAUCCGACGUAAUGCGGCAGAGCGAAUAUUACCGGACCCGAAAGAUGGUGAACUAUGCCUGAAUAGGGCGAAGCCAGAGGAAACUCUGGUGGAGGCUCGUAGCGGUUCUGACGUGCAAAUCGAUCGUCAAAUUUGGGUAUAGGGGGCGAAAGACUAAUCGAACCAUCUAGUAGCUGGUUCACGCCGAAGU
rnacentral:rRNA from 1 species